rnacentral:lncRNA from 1 species
CCACUGAGAAUUUGCCUAUUCUAAAUAUGUCAUUCAAAUUUUAUAUGUAGUACAGAUAUGCCACUGCCGUUGGUUGAUCGCUAGUCGUCCCGUCCACCGGUCCUGGUCCACUAUCGUCGUGAACCGAGGCUCCAGCCACUGCACCAACCGCGUUGCGGCGGCCUCGUCCCCGGCCGCAUCGUAUAGCGAGAGCCACUGCAGAUUCCAUAUCUGAAUCC